rnacentral:rRNA from 1 species
CAGGAUGAACGCUAGCUACAGGCUUAACACAUGCAAGUCGAGGGGCAGCAUGAGCUUAGCUUGCUAAGCUUGAUGGCGACCGGCGCACGGGUGAGUAACGCGUAUCCAACCUUCCCCUUAGUAGGGCAUAGCCGGUGAAAUCGGAUUAAUACCCUAUGUUCUUCACAGCGGGCAUCUAACGUGAAGCAAAGGUUCACCGCUAAGGGAUGGGGAUGCGUCUGAUUAGGUAGUCGGCGGGGUAACGGCCACCGAGCCAUCGAUCAGUAGGGGUUCUGAGAGGAAGGUCCCCCACAUUGGAACUGAGACACGGUCCAAACUCCUACGGGAGGCAGCAGUGAGGAAUAUUGGUCAAUGGGCGCGAGCCUGAACCAGCCAAGUAGCGUGCAGGAUGACGGCCCUAUGGGUUGUAAACUGCUUUUAUGCGGGGAUAAAGUCGCCCACGUGUGGGUGUUUGCAGGUACCGCAUGAAUAAGGACCGGCUAAUUCCGUGCCAGCCGCCGC